UCCUGGAGUGGCUCAGUCAGUAGAACAUAAGAUUUUUAAUCUCAGGGUUGUGGGUUCGAUCCCCACGUUGGGCG